rnacentral:rRNA from 1 species
UUUUGGACAAUGGGCGCAAGCCUGAUCCAGCCAUGCCGCGUGCGGGAAGAAGGCCUUCGGGUUGUAAACCGCUUUUGUCAGGGACGACCCCCGUUUGGGCUAAUACCCCGAACUAAUGACGGUACCUGAAGAAUAAGCACCGGCUAACUACGUGCCAGCAGCCGCGGUAAUACGUAGGGUGCAAGCGUUAAUCGGAAUUACUGGGCGUAAAGCGUGCGCAGGCGGCUUUGCAAGACAGAUGUGAAAUCCCCGGGCUCAACCUGGGAACUGCAUUUGUGACUGCAAGGCUGGAGUGCGGCAGAGGGGGAUGGAAUUCCGCGUGUAGCAGUGAAAUGCGUAGAUAUGCGGAGGAACACCGAUGGCGAAGGCAAUCCCCUGGCCUGCACUACGCUCAGCACGAAA